UGGAUCCAGACUUUGAUUAUGGCUCAGGAUGAACGCUAGCUACAGGCUUAACACAUGCAAGUCGCGGGGCAGCGUGUCGUCAGCUUGCUGACGAUGGCGGCGACCGGCGCACGGGUGCGUAACGCGUAUCCAACCUUCCCUCUACUCGGGAACAGCCCUCCGAAAGGAGGAUUAAUGCCCGAUGAGGUCCUUCGACGGCAUCCGACGAGGACCAAAGGAGCGAUUCGGUAGGGGAUGGGGAUGCGUCCGAUUAGCUUGACGGCGGGGUAACGGCCCACCGUGGCGACGAUCGGUAGGGGUUCUGAGAGGAAGGUCCCCCACACUGGAACUGAGACACGGUCCAGACUCCUACGGGAGGCAGCAGUGAGGAAUAUUGGUCAAUGGGCGCAAGCCUGAACCAGCCAAGUAGCGUGCAGGACGACGGCCCUAUGGGUUGUAAACUGCUUUUAUGCGGGGAUAAAGUUGGGGACGUGUCCCCAUUUGCAGGUACCGCAUGAAUAAGGACCGGCUAAUUCCGUGCCAGCAGCCGCGGUAAUACGGAAGGUCCGGGCGUUAUCCGGAUUCAUUGGGUUUAAAGGGAGCGUAGGCCGGCCUUUAAGCGUGCCGUGAAAUGUCCCGGCUCAACCGGGGCACUGCGGCGCGAACUGGGGGCCUUGAGUGCGCGGAACGUAUGCGGAAUUCGUGGUGUAGCGGUGAAAUGCUUAGAUAUCACGAAGAACCCCGAUUGCGAAGGCAGCAUACGGCAGCGCUACUGACGCUGAAGCUCGAAGGCGCGGGUAUCGAACAGGAUUAGAUACCCUGGUAGUCCGCGCGGUAAACGAUGGAUGCCCGCUGUCGGCGAUACACGGUCGGCGGCCAAGCGAAAGCGUUAAGCAUCCCACCUGGGGAGUACGCCGGCAACGGUGCAACUCAAAUGAAGUGACGGA
rnacentral:rRNA from 1 species